GUACAGUUUUUGUUGGCAUUGCGCUUCCACUUAAGUUUCUCCUGCUUGGUCACCGCCGAAGGCACCACGCUGGCGAACGGAGCGAUUUUCGGAUUCAGGGCCAGCAGGUCCUGUACGAACACACACAAAUUCCAUUAGCAUAAAUCAGCGAUGAGUCGCGUGACUGUUUUUGGCGCCGGUUUGCGAUACGGAAAAUGCAUGGCGCAUAUUGACUUUGCACUGCGCGGCACGACUGAAGAGUCGAGUCAACACGCUGGCCUAAAAAGAUUACGCAGCAAAUACUUGCAGCUUUUUAACAACACACUCUUGAUUUGCUUUUAAAUUUAAAUCAAUUUGAGACAAAAUUGUAGAAUUU